rnacentral:lncRNA from 1 species
AUGGAGGAACCUCCUCCCGGUUUCCGGCUGCGACGUUUUCAGGGCUCACACACAUUUGUGCUUUUGCCAGCGCUGCCCUUCAGCUUAAGCAGUUCUUCUCCCUCCCCAGCGCUUAUCUCCAACGUAUUUAUAGACAGCGGUCACGUCCCGCAGCUUCUGCUCCGCGAGCCUGAACCACCCAAGCUGCUCCAGCCUCUUCCAAGACGCGCUAUUUCCCAGCGCCCUAACGGUCCCUCUCCAAGUCCAUCCCGGCCGCCCGGGAGGAGGCAUCGAGCCGGAGACCUGCUUCUCGAGGGCAGGGAAGAGCCGCGGGGACAAGAGCGAGGCGGCCUGCGGACCGCCAAGCGCCAGGCGCGGGAGGCGGCAGCGAGGCGGGAUGCAGAGCGCCUGCCCUCUCCCGCCGCGGGGUCGCCGGCCGCGACGCUCCUCCCGCCUGCGACCAGCCCGCUGCUCUCGCACUCCCGGCCCCGCACGUCCCUCCUCAGCUACCGCACAUCUCCUCCGCAAGGAGCCCGGCGUUAUCCUGCCGCUGCGCCGACCCGCUGCCAGCCGCGGAGUCCUUGGCUCGGUCUCUUCCAGGGCCCGACACGACACAGCUGUGCUUUAAACCCCACGGGGAAACAAGCAGCCGAGGGACGGCGGUCCACGCGGGCGGGCUGCCCACGGGGGUGCGGAGAGCGGCUCCGACAGGCGAAGGGGAGCCCGACGCUGGGCGCGGGGACCCUCCCGGGCAGCGGCGCAGUCGGAUGCUGCUUAUUGAGGCACCCGCCUCCGAAGAGCUUCCUUAGGAAACUUAUCAUCYGCCGCGCUCAGCCCCGCGGGCAGCGCGACGCCCCGCUAUCGGCGGCGUGCAAAGGGGGCAGGCAGCUGCCGAGGGGCGGCGGAAAGGCCCGGGGUCGACUCGCCCCCGGCCUCCCCCGAGGCUUUGGGGCGCCGCGUCCCCGAGAAGCCCGAGGCUCCUCCGCGCCUCUCCGUUCGACGCCGCUUCGCUCUUUACGGGCUUAA